rnacentral:rRNA from 1 species
UACGUAGGGGGCAAGCGUUAUCCGGAUUUACUGGGUGUAAAGGGAGCGUAGACGGCCAGACAAGUCUGAAGUGAAAAUCCAGCGCUUAACGUUGGAAGUGCUUUGGAAACUGCCGGGCUGGAGUGCAGGAGGGGCAGGCGGAAUUCCUAGUGUAGCGGUGAAAUGCGUAGAUAUUAGGAGGAACGCCAGUGGCGAAGGCGGCCUGCUGGACUGCAACUGACGUUGAGGCUCGAAGGCGUGGGGAGCAAACAGG